rnacentral:rRNA from 1 species
CCCUUAGAUGUUCGGGGCCGCACGCGCGCUACACUGAUGCAUUCAACGAGUCUAAAACCUGCUCUGAUAGGGGUGGGUAAUCUUUUGAAUGUGCAUCGUGAUUGGGAUAGAUGAUUGCAAUUUUUCAUCUUCAACGAGGAAUGCCUAGUAAACGCAAGUCAUCAGCUUGCAUUGAUUACGUCCCUGCCCUUUGUACACACCGCCCGUCGCUCCUACCGAUUGAAUGAUCCGAUGAAUAUCAUGGAUUGAGGAUGCAAGUAGGUUAGCCUAUCUUCAUCUUCGAGAAGUGAAGUAAAUCUUAUCAUUUAGAGGAAGGAGAAGUCGUAACA